rnacentral:rRNA from 1 species
UACGUAGGGUGCAAGCGUUGUCCGGAAUUAUUGGGCGUAAAGAGCUCGUAGGUGGCGGGUCACGUCGGGUGUGAAAGCCCGGGGCUUAACCCCGGGUCUGCAUUCGAUACGGGUCUGCUGGGGUCCGGCAGGGGAGACUGGAAUUCCUGGUGUAGCGGUGAAAUGCGCAGAGUAUCAGGAGGAACACCGGUGGCGAAGGCGGGUCUCUGGGCAGUAACUGACGCUGGAGGAGCGAAAGCGUGGGGAGCGAACAGG